rnacentral:antisense_RNA from 2 species
UGUGGGAGCGAGCUUGCUCGCGAUGCAGGCGACUCGGUGCAACUUCUGAACCGAGGUGAUGCUAUCGCGAGCAAGCUCGCUCCCACA